CACGUGAGAAUCACAAGCUUUAAGCGCCUAGGGUUUUCUGCAGCUUCCCUUGGCGCCUUGCUCUACUGUAACAAAAGCGCGGGUGGGGAGAUAGAAUCUUGGAUUUGUUUGAGAGGUUCUUCAAUGGCGACUGUCGUUGAAACCUCCGAGGAAGAUGCAGCGCUCACCGUUGUUCGCUUUGUCUCCGAGCUUGCUUGGGCCGACGCCGGUCCCGAGGCUGCUGAGCCACAAGUUAAUAGACUCUGCGUUGAAGCUCAAGAAUGUAUGGUUAUGGGAAGAUGGGUGGAUUUGGCAUCUUUAAUGCUGGCUUCUACCGACGUGAUAUUUUCAAAAGUUUCUGAAAAAGAUCUCGAGUGUGUAUUCACUAUUAUCUGUAAUCUUGUCACGAAGUCUGGAAACCCAGACGAAUCAUUUGAAAUAGCGAAGGUUAUAUCUGCUAAGAUUGGCCAACAGCCAAAUGACAAACCUGCACUUCGUUUAAAGAUCUUGUUCAAUCUGUACAACCUACUUGAGAAUCCAUAUAGCCGGUUCUAUGUAUACAUGAAGGCCCUGGAUUUAUCUCUUAAGGGGAAGGUCCCUGAACAUAUAAUUCCCUCAUUAAAAAAGAUAGACAGUUUCUUGAGAGAGUGGAAUAUUGGAAUCAUAGAGCAGAGAGAACUUUUCCUCGCCAUCUCCGAUGUUUUGAAAGGAAGUAAGAGUUCUGCGAACGAUUAUUUCAAGUUUCUUACCAAAUAUUUGGCCACUUUCACUGGUGAAGAUGACUUGAAUGAAGCAAAGGAGGAAGCUGCUCAUGCAAUUGUUGAAUUCAUUAAGGCACCCAACUUAUUUAAGUGUGAUUUGUUAGACAUGCCUGCUGUAGGGCAACUGGAGAAGGAUCCCAAAUAUUCAUUGGUUUAUCAGCUUCUGAAGAUUUUUCUGACUCAGAGAUUGGAUGCUUACUUGGAAUUUCAAGCUGCAAAUUCUACUUUAUUGAAAAGCUAUGGUCUCGUCCAUGAAGACUGUAUUGCAAAAAUGAGGUUAUUGUCAUUGGUGGAUCUUGGCUCAAAUGAAUCUGCCCGCAUUCCGUAUGCUCUCAUUAAGGACACACUCAGGAUCAAUGAUGAUGAGGUGGAACUGUGGGUCGUGAAGGCCAUUACUUCCAAAUUGAUUGACUGCAAAAUGGACCAGAUGAAUGGAGUUGUGAUUGUGAGCCGCUGUAGUGACCGUGUAUUUGGGCAGCAUCAGUGGGAAACGCUUAGAAUGAAGCUAGCCACAUGGAGGGGUAAUAUUGCGAAUGUCAUUGGCACCAUUCGAGCAAACAAAGUAGUUGAGGAUGGAUCACAGGGUGUUCAAGGUUUGGCAAUUCGCUGAAGAUUGGAUUUUUGUUCAUCUGUGAAAUGAAAACUCGGAAAACCCAUCAACUAUGGGUUCUGUUGGUUUGGAUUUUACACACCUUGUCAAGUGUGAAUAGUUGCGUAGUGAGAGAGGAAAGAAGAGAGGGCUUAAAAUUUAACGAAUUUGUGUUUGAUCAUUCAUCCAAUUAUCAGUGUUUGCUCCAUGGAAAUAUGCAGAGAGCUUAAAAUUGAAGGGGCCACAUAUAAAGAAAGGCAUAAUUUUAGAGGAGUUGAAUUAUUUCAGCCUUCAGAGAGAGAAAGAGAAAAGAGAGAGCCAAAAAUGGGUGGUCGGAGUUCGUUUUGGGGAGUAGCAGUGGCGGCGUUGAUGGUGACAAUCAUCCUCUGUUCCAGCAACAGCAGCAGAGCUUCGAGUCUGGGCAGGGCCAACGCCACGUACGGCGAGGUGGAGGUGGAAUUGCUGGUGCGUCGUGAGAUAGCUCGGUUUCUGAAUUUUAAUGGCCUGAAAGUCCACACAGACAAAACCCAGAACCCGUUCGUCAAAUCUUGUGGUAACGGCCAGGGAAACCCCAUGGGCGACUGCAGUGGUAGCCCCACUAAUAAGAAACACUGUAACUCAUACGCCGGCGCCAGCGCCUGCUAGAGUCGAACCCUUUGGUUCCAUGUAGUAUUAUUGUUAUCAUGGUUCUGUUUUCUCUGCCAUCUAACUCCCUUUCCUCUUUCGCUCUCUGUGUUUGUGUUUCAAGUUGCUGUUUAUAAGGGUCUCUGUCUUCUGUGGAGUUCUUGCUUUAAUCAGCCAUGGUUGGGUAUGUGUAUGGCUUUGGUUGUUGCUGUUGUUUGUGUCAAAUAAGAACAAUGAAAUGCCUCAUCUUCUUCUCUAUCCUUUUAA